GGUUCAGAAUUGUGAUUAAAGACGUGUCAUCGCUCAACGUACGGCCUCCCGUUGAUAACGAUCAUCAUCAGCACUGGAGCUGCCGGGGUGAAUGGGAUGGGAUUAGUAUUUAAUAUGUCAGCCGACUUUGUUCCGAUCAUAUGGUCUGCUGGAUGAUCAGGAUGGAGAUAACGUUCUAUUGCGCUGUUCUUCUAGAACCAGUUCUAGCCUGAGCUAAAUGACUCAUUAUUACAGAGAAAUAUAAAAUCACUCAAAUGUGUAGCGGAAAAAAAGCUUGCUGGACAGUUAGUUACAUUUUUCAGUGUAAAUCAGCGUAGAGUUUUGGGGUGUGCGUCUUAGUCUUGUUGACAUUUCAAUUCAUCCAUCCAUCAUUCACCCAACCAGCCAACCAUCAUUCCGUCCUUUAAUCUAUUCAUCCAUCCAUCCAUCCAUUAUCUUCCAAGUAUCCAAGGGUAGUCGAGGCAGUACUUCUGCUAGUACUACUGCGUCUUCCACUUCUACCUUGGGGCCCUUUUUCCAGUUGGACGCGGCCAGGAAACCUCUACACGGAGGCCCCCCGAUCCGAUGCACGAACCACCCGAGCCGACCGCUUUCGAUGUGACGGAGCAGCCUCUGCCUCCGGCUGUCUGAGCUCCUCGCCUUAUCUCUGAAGCUGCCCCCCCCCUACGAAGGAAGCUCAUUACGGUCGCUUGUAUCAGCGAUCGCAUUCUUCCUGUCACCACCCGAAGCUUGAGAUUAUAGUUGAGGGUCGCAAACGUGUUGAACUGGCACAUUGGGAGCAUCGCCUCCCAGCUCGGCGCUUUAUUCACCACUUCAACGGGGGGUGCGAUGGCUGCAUUACAGCUGAGGUCCAGCUCACGCUCCAUUUUACCUCCUCUUUUAUAUAUGAACCCUGUGAACACUUGGUCUGCAAUGUAUUUGACAGUGUUGGUUGUUGAUUCACAGCGGUCUCCAUUAUUUUUAACAACUAAAAAACUAAAUAGGCUCAAAUAUUGUUGAAAAUAAAGCUCAUUGAUGAUGUACGGUACAUAAACCUGUCUUUAUGUCUUCCUAUUUAUCGUAUUGCCAUCUUGUCUCACUUCAAUGACCCAGUUUUCCGAAUGCAGCCCUUUCGUUUCAUCUGAACAGACGAUUCUGUGGGUGGUUCGGUCAUGGAACGCAACACUUUGAGGGAUCUUAAUUCACGCCGCAUUCCCUCUCAAUGCCUGAUGACAGACGGGGUCCUGACGCAGUGAUAUGAUGCUUAAAGUAACCGUCGCACUGGUUUUGACAGUCAGGAAUGGGGCCUGUGUGCUGCGCCACCGCUGCCGUUAUUAGAGAGCAGAUUCUGUGGCGUCUCAGGGUGGAACAAGCUCCUCGAGUGCAAUGAGACCCAAGUUUUAAGCCCAACUGAUCAGUCUUGACCGCAGCGACACGGAGAGCCAAAGGGCAGCGGCCGUGUCAAAGAAAAAUGACUCCUCGGAUUAACGUUAGCAUGAAAGACGGACGGUGGAUACUUCAGUCGCGUUGGUUGGAUCACUUUUUAUGCUCCGUUUAAAGGAUAUAAUCUUGAUUUUGCCAAUUGCCAAAUAAUGCAGCCAAACGAUCACAACCAGCAAUGCGUCAGUCGCCUCAACACUCUGAUUGUAUUAAGUCCUUUACCCAUUAAGGGAAACGCUGGCCUGGUUUUAUUGUUUUAAUGAGUUAUUAUUGCAGGCGAUCUUCAGUAUUCUCCGUUAUUUCAUCACUUGGUAGUCAAGUCGUUUGCAACCCUCCAACACGGUGUCCAGUUCCCUUUGUAGAUAGUGAAAUUAUACUUCCUGUCUUCAUCCCUCACAGCAUGAUGUGGGCCUUAACUCAAAAAGAUUUAACCACAAAUACCAGAAGGAAACAUUAUACGAGUGACAAAAUACAUUAUUAUGAACCAUUUUUCAUUUUCAAACUGAUUCUAGUAAUAACAACAUGCAGCAGGUUCAUCUGAGGCUCCAUGUGAGUAUUUUUCCUUUCUACAGCCUGUGAAUGAAACAACUUGGUAAACUGAGAUGUAUUUUGAAAAGUGUGUUUAUUUCUUAUAAACCAUAAAACAGAAGAAUUAAACCAACGCUAAUAAAAUCACUCAUAAUGUUCUAAGUUAUAUAAUGCAAAAAUCAGCCCAGUAAUACUGUUAGCUAUUAUAGAAUAAUUAUAGUCAAGGAAUCAAGGAGUCCAAUUUGGCGAGCGCAAGAAGUAGUUCAGUCACUGGAGGCGCUCUGAAGUGACUCACAGCCUCGCGGUGGUCCCAGCAGGAGUCACUUAAGACCCUCAACCUGCCAUUUUUCACGUCAUCCUUGAACCGGCUGGAGCUUUGUACGUUUUAAUGAGGAGGUUGCGGCUGCACGCUCAUUAUCAGAGUCGGGGGGCCGGCGACUGGUCGAGAUGCAGAGUUUGAUGAGGCAGCGAAGAGCAUCUGAAACCGCAUCAACUCUCCUCCAGUGAGCUCCGAGGCCGGAGACUUGAAGCCGCGUCGGCAGCUUUUUACGUUUCUUAUUUGGGGUACGCAGCUGGUUUAGAGCUUUUUCUCCUUUGGCGCUUUCAAGUCAGUGCGAACGAUCAUUUAUACGCCUUCCAAGCCAAAUGUGGCACUUUUCACGAGAAUGUGAACCAGCUGAAGGAAAAAGAGAACGGAUGCAGAUGAUAACUCAUAACGCCAGUGAAGGACCCGCCAUCUAAUAUACACAUAGUUAAAAACGUUGUUCAAGACAAAGACAAAAGAAGAAGAGCCCACACACACUCCUUUGUUGCCAUUUAUUUUUAAGCAUGAACCAUUUGUCAGUAGCGGCUGCAUCCUCAGUAAGCCGGUGCUAGUCGAUUUCCCCAUUUCAACCGUAACUGCCUCUCACCUCACCCCACCAGACUCCAUUAAAAGAGGAGAGGAGGAGGAGGAGGAGGGGGAGCAGGAGGGUAGGGGGGUGAACAGCCCCAAGCUUGGGGUUCGAUAGAACGAAAAACAUGUGCUCGAGUCAGAAGUCUGUGUGUGUGUGUGUGAGAACCUCGGGGCUCCGCUCGCUCACUACUUGAUCUGCAGAACGUCUGAGAGUCAGUAUUUGGGGGGGAGACAGAACCCCCCCCGGCGGGGGGGUGAAUGUUUAAAUACAGAGAGGCAGCGUGGGAGUGAAGCCGGUGAGAGGGUUUCCCUCACACUGGAUGGCCCCUUAUGUGCAGACACGCCGAGAGGGGAACCUAAAUUAAGCCUCUUGCUCAGAAGAAAGGGCCUUCACUCCUAAUUGGAAAGGGAAGAGUGAGUCCUCGCAGGCGCAGAUCUGUAGCCGCUGGUGUGACGAGCGUGCACCCAGGGGAGAGAGCCGUCACCUGUAAGUCCAUUAAUAAUCCACAGCUGGAACCAGUCUGCAACGUCUGGCUCUGGAAAGGAAGCCAAUGCAGAAAGUGCCUUAAACUUGAAUUCCUUCUACUGGCGGAUGAGAAAAUGACGCACUUUUGAUUUGUUCACUAAGUGAAUAUUUUAAAAACACGAGUUUGUCUCAAUCUCUAGCGUCAAGUCUUCUACGACACAGCGCGAUGUUCCUUCUGUAAACGAUGUUGUAUUUGGUCCGACCUGUUUUGGGGGGGGGUAGUGUGAUUGACAAGUCGCUACCGUCUGGGCGGCCGUGUUUUUUCAUAGUUUAGUCGGUUUUGGUGCUUUUUUGUAAAUGUUUGUGUUAUUUCAUAAUUUCGAUGUUUUGGUAAAUGUUUCACAUUUUCAAUCAUCUCCAUAUGUUUUAGUUAUUUUGGUUGUUGUAAUAUUUACUGUAAUAUCACUAUUUUUGGUGAUAUUUGUGUCUUUUUCAUGGUUUUGGUGUUUAUCCAUAAUGUUCUUACAUUUUAGUUAUUCAACUAAAAAACACCCCUUAUGAUGGGUUCUCAGUUGAUUGAGGUUGACUGCGACCUUUUCUGUCCUCCAGAUUGUAACAUUUGAAUUUACUUUCCCCUCUUUGUAACUACCGGUGCAAAAAAAAAUACAUGGCAACCGCAAAAAAACAGCAUGGAAACAGCAAAAAAACAACAUGGAAACGGCAAAAAAACAACAUGGAAACAGCAAAAAAACAACAUGGAAACAUCAAAAAAACAACAUGGAAACGGCUAAAAAACAACAUGGAAAGCGUCUUUCUCACACUGCAGAGCGAGUUUCAUACCAUAAGCCGUGCCGGAGAACAGUCGAGGUCUUGAAACAAUUAGCAUACCACAACAAUACGGCCAUCGUCGUCCUAAUUUGUCGGUACCGAGCCAUCACUCAUCAAACGCAGAGGAGAAACAGCUCUGGACGGAUGCAGAUGGAACACACACAUCCUGCAGAUCCCAGCACUGAAAGCGCAGAAGAGGAGGUUGCCAGAUCCUGCAUUGUUUGCGACUGCGUUGCAGAUGUGGAGGUGUAGUUUGAACUCAUGUAAGAACUUUUGAGUUGCUCUCCUGGGACGCGACGGCAGUGACAGUGAAGUCCUGUUUUUCAUAUUAUCAGUUAUUUAACAGCGUGAGCAGAAACGAUCGAGAAAGAAACUGAGUGAAAAUCUCAUGCAGAACCUACAAAGUUGAAUUGAAAACUGUGAUUCACGUUGCAGGUUUCACCUGAGAAGAAGAACAUUAAUGAUGUCACCUUACUGUCUAUCUAUGUUUUGUUAUUGCUGCUAUUUUAAGACGCCGACUUGUGCUCUGAUCUCUAUCCUUAAUCUUCUUCUCACAUGUCCUUUGUUUUUCGGAGAAUAUUUCGGUUCAUGAUUACGAUGGCAUCCAGAAAUGGACAUCGAGGCACAUGCAGUUUCUCUGAAAUUGAUUUGUUUGAUAUUUCUUUCUUGUUUUCACAAGAUCCAAAAACAGAAUAUCUUUCUUUUUAUAAUGAACUAUCGUAGAAUGAUGUGUAUGGAUUCUAAAGUAAUCCUCUUUGGGCAUUGACUAGACACUGUAUAUGGAAACGUCUUGUUAAAAAUCAUACAAUUUUAUCAUGUCAUAACAAGAAAAUGUUCUUGUUUUCCUGAGAUGAGACGACGGUACGUCAUUAUAACGAGUUGGAUCCAUUUGAUGAUUUGGUGCCAUAAUGAGGAUGUUCUGUGACAUAAGGAGGUUGUUUCUGCUUAAAGUCAAGUGAAGGGGAAAGAAGCAGAACAUCUUCUUCUCAUAAGACUGUAAGUAACCAUGUGUAAGCUCCCUCACGCGCUCUGCAACGUCCCGUGGACGUCUUCCUCCCCGUCCACUUCCUCCCGGCCGCAUUCUCCAAUGUGCCUUUGGUUUCAUCACGUUGUGUUUCUCAUCUGCUGAAGAUCAAUACAAACAGUAAAUAAAGAAAAGAAAAAAAACAGCAAAUAAGAAAAUGUUCUUCAGGUGUCAUUUCUCCUCUCUGUCAGACCCAAGGUCAAUGAUCUCAGAGUUCUCUCUUCACUCCCUGACAGCUCAAUAAAACUCCUUCCAUCCUUUUUCUGUGGCCAUUUUCAUUUAUUCUUGUGUCGCCGGCCCCCCCACCAGGCCGAGGGCUCUUUCCGACGCAUACACCAUGAGCCGGUUUGUGUGCGAGAGAAGCUCUCUCUCCCUCUUCUUUUUCAUCCAGUCACACAUGGGAGAAGAAGAUAGGCGGUGGGAAACGGAGAACGUCGGGGUGGCGUGUGUGUGUGUGUGUGUGUGUGUCUGUGUGCGUUUGUGUCUUUGUCGCUGGUUCGGUGUGUGAUAUGAGCCCUGACCCGUCACUUGUGUCUGCGGCCAGAAUAAUAUCAUUUGUUGAGUCAGAACUACAGACACAAACGUGUCACCACAAAUAUUCCCAGCGGUGUUGUGAGCAGACUCAGGGCGGUCCAAUUUAAAGAGAGGACAGACGGGGACGGUGUGGCUUUGGGCUGUAUUUUGGUUGGGGAUGUUAUUUAAGUGCUGCUGAAUUUGACUCUCGUCCUGACUUUUUGACACCAUGAAACUUUGUCUUUGAACAAACUCUCGUGAACUGUCCGUCCACGUGAGAUCACGGAGCUCACAGACGGCUGAUUAAAGGGAGCCAGGACCAAAAAAAAACAACGGCAUCACCAUUAAAGUUCCUCAGUUGACUGAGAGUAAAAGAUUUUUUAAUGAUAUUCUUUUGAAAAUGUCUUUUAAAACAUCCGAAGGAGACAUUAGCUUAUUAAAUUGCGUCUUCAGAACGGAAAUCUGACUGGCUGGCAAAUUUAAAAUUCUUCAUUCUUGUUUCAUUUUGUUUACGUAUUAGACAGAAAGGUUUGUAGAGAAGAAAUACGGCUUCUUAAAUCAGACUAGACUGUCAGCAGUCAAAUAAAACGCAUUAAUUACCUGCCAUGUUGUUGUGGAUAAAGCGGUCUGGUUAUGAAUUAUAUAUGAAAAAACCCUCAGGAAAAACUUUCACAACAUGAAACAGGAAAUAUUAGUGCAUCUGCUGCUGAAGUGCAGACUUCUGGCUCACAGUCCGACAAUUAUUCAAAAGUUACGAAUUGAAAAAUGAGAAACAUUUUGUGAGGCAUCAUUGGGAAAAGACAGACAAGACAGAUCACUUAAAAAAACACAACCUCGCCAAAGGUAGCUGCGCAUGAUUUAUCUCUUCAAUCUGACCCUUCGGACCGAACUCUCAUUGGCAGAUUGGAUCUGUUGAAUGAAUUAUUUGCCAACAUUUUUGCCAAGCGGUGAUGGAUCUUCCCAAAAGAACGUCGAUGAACACUUGGCAAGAGGAAGAAUCCCGUUGGCCUUCACAUCUACUAAUGCGCAACGCGACGGGGGAGCGGGGAUGUGUUUUAUGGGAGAUGUUACUUAGGAGCUGCUGAAUUCGACUCUCCUCCUGACUCCUUCACUAAGUUUUUGACGCGAAAAUACUUUUUCUUUGAACUGACCGUUUGAGACGGCUUCUGGAAAUCUGCGUACUGAGUUCCGUCCCAUCGGGUCAUUAGUUGCACUCUAAAACCCGGGAGUUUAUCUGCACCUCAAUUAAACGGCCAAAAUAAAACGAGCGCACGUUGAAACCCGGCGCUCCGACACCUGCUCUAAAUAAAAAUACGCCCGAAUGAAAAGAAUAAAUCCAUUCGCCGCCUUGGUGCUGCACUCAAACCGAUUGCUAUCCGAGAGCCCUGCACUAUACAUGUGAACCACAUCUAAAUUAAAGAUGUAAAUCUCCACCGCUGCAGUUUGUAGUGCAUGUGUAACACAAAAGUGGUAUUUUAUGGAGGGUGGUGAGGCCAUAAAGACGAAGACUAAUCUAACUUUGACUAUGUGUGUGUGUGUGUGUGUGUGUGUGUGUGUGUGUGGCACAAUGACGUAGCAGAAGGAGAUCAAUGCCACACCGAUGCAGUCGCUCCCUGUUUGUCAGAGAAACUGAGGAGCUUUGUGGUCCUCGGAGAGUAAAUAAAAGCCGCCUGGACGUAAUCACAGGCUUGUAAUGGAAAAUCGGGACCCACGUCUCACAAAUCAGAAGAAAGUGAAACUUUGUUUGAAGCUAAAGCCUCUAAAUCAUUCUUUUUUAGGGGGGGGGGGAGAAGAGUUUCAGCUGCUUAAAAUGUGGGGCACAUGCCAUGUGGGGCAUGUGGUGUAAUGACUGCGUCUCUUUGGGCUCGGUAUGCAACACGGUGUCAGUAUGUCCACGUGUAGCCCGCUAGGCCGGAUCAUUGUGCGUACAAACAGGAACCUUCCGCUAUAUUGUCCAAACUCAAGCACACACACAAACUGUGUUACACACCAACGCUCUGACAACAGCUGAGCGCAUGGCGUAACUCUGCAGACACGAUUGAUGCACCUUUCAGACCAGGUCUCUUUUUCCAUUGCGUUUCCAUUUUAUCGCUUUCAUUUAUUUAAGAAAUGCAAAGCAGCAGCGCCUUAAUAACUUGCCCUUCACUCGGUUUUACAAUGGUCAUUAACGCAGGUCUCGCUGGAAGAGGCUUUUAGGGAGCCACUUGUGUUCUUAUGCAUGCACGGUUAAUGUCUCAUAAAGGAGGAGGCCGCUGACUACGCAUUGCAGCCUCCUGUCCUUUCACUCGCCUUUUCUUUACCGGAGACGUAAGACGUUUUGUGUCCUCGAGAAACGUCACGAAAAAUAAUAGAUCUUCACUGCUUAAAAUCACAGACUGUCAAGUCUCUCACGCAGAGAAGGAGCUUUGAUUCUGUCUUUAGGAUCCUUUCAUUACAGUCGGAAACAGGGACAAUGGACGGCCCUGUUGGGCUCGAGCCUGAUAAUGUUAAGAGCAUCUUAACGUUUAGAUGAAACCAGGAGAGAAAGAGAAGAGAGAAGCGCAUCGACUGUUUAACCCUCUUCAUCUUCCCCUCUCAACUUCUUUUGACAUUUCACAAAUGUUGUAAAUACUGGCAGCCAAAUGACAAAGAAACCACCGUGGGAGGUUUUUUCUUUUUUUCAUGCUUUGGUGAAAUGACUUGAGCAUCUUUCUCAACAUGCACAGGAAACCUAAAACCCUCCGAUAGGAUGAGCCCCCGGAGUCUGGGAUGUUCGCCAUGUUUUCCACCGCGGGGACGUUUGUGCUUUUGCCGAUUCGGCGCUGCCAGUGUUGCACCAGUGUUAAUUUUGGCAGCUAUUUUUGAUUUAGUCUUAGUCUUUAGACAAAAAAUGCAUAUUAGUUUUAGUCACAUUUAGUCAUUUUAAUCCUUCUUAGUUU
ensembl:lncRNA